GGGGCUGUAGCUCACUGCUAGAGUGCUUGCCUUAUAUGCACGAUAUUCUGGAUUCAAGUACCAGCACUGCCA
rnacentral:tRNA from 1 species